rnacentral:rRNA from 1 species
CAUGCAAGUCGAGCGAUGAACAUUCAAUGAUCCCUUCGGGGUGAUUUGGCUGGGAUUAGCGGCGAACGGGUGAGUAACGCGUGAGGAACCUGCCUCUUACAACGGGAUAGCCUCGGGAAACCGGGAUUAAUACCGUAUAAGACUCCGACAUCUCCUGAUGAUGAAGUCAAAGCGUAUGCGGUAAGAGAUGGCCUCGCGUCUGAUUAGUUAGUUGGCGGGGUAACGGCCCACCAAGACGACGAUCAGUAGCCGGCCUGAGAGGGUGAACGGUCACAUUGGAACUGAGACACGGUCCAAACUCCUACGGGAGGCAGCAGUGGGGAAUCUUGCACAAUGGGGGCAACCCUGAUGCAGCGACGCCGCGUGAGCGAUGAAGGUUUUCGAAUCGUAAAGCUCUGUCCUAUGGGAAGAUAAUGACGGUACCAUAGGAGGAAGCCCCGGCUAACUACGUGCCAGCAGCCGCGGUAAUACGUAGGGGGCGAGCGUUGUCCGGAAUUACUGGGCGUAAAGGGUUCGCAGGCGGCAUGGCAAGUCCGAUGUAAAAGGCGAAGGCUUAACCUUCGUAAGCAUCGGAAACUGUCAAGCUUGAGUGAAGGAGAGGCAAGUGGGAUUCCUAGUGUAGCGGUGGAAUGCGUAGAUAUUAGGAGGAAUACCGGUGGCGAAGGCGACUUGCUGGACUUCAACUGACGCUGAGGAACGAAAGCGUGGGUAGCAAACAGGAUUAGAUACCCUGGUAGUCCACGCUGUAAACGAUGAGUGCUAGGUGUCGGGGGUCAAACCUCGGUGCCGCCGUUAACAC